rnacentral:rRNA from 1 species
UACAGAGACCUCAAGCGUUAUCCGGAAUCAUUGGGCGUACAGCGUGCCGAUAGGUUGUUUAUUUAGUCUUGGGUAAAAGCCAGAAGCUUAACUUCUGAGUUUGCUUUAGAUACUGAUAGACUAGAGGGGCAAAGAGGUGCUUGGAACGAAUGGUGUAGUAGUGAAAGGCGUUGAUAUCAUUCGGAACACCGAAAGCGAAGGCAGAGCACUGGGUGCCACCUGACACUGCUAGGACGAAAGCGUGGGGAGCGAACGGG